rnacentral:rRNA from 1 species
AACGAACGCUGGCGGCAGGCCUAACACAUGCAAGUCGAACGCCCGUAGCAAUACGGGAGUGGCAGACGGGUGAGUAACGCGUGGGAACGUGCCCUUCGGUUCGGAAUAACUCAGGGAAACUUGAGCUAAUACCGGAUACGUCCGUAAGGAGAAAGAUUUAUCGCCGAAGGAUCGGCCCGCGUCGGAUUAGCUAGUUGGUGAGGUAAUGGCUCACCAAGGCGACGAUCCGUAGCUGGUCUGAGAGGAUGAUCAGCCACACUGGGACUGAGACACGGCCCACGACUCCUACGGGAGGCAGCAGUGGGGAAGUAUUGGACAAUGGGCGAAAGCCUGAUCCAGCCAUGCCGCGUGAGUGAAGAAGGCC